UUUGAUUUGGUCUAUUUUGACUCAAGUAUUAUAAAUCUCCGACUAUAAGUCUAUCUGAUCAACUGCCAAGAGGGAGUUAUGCACUUAGGUCUUUCAAAGACCCCAUAAUGUUUGUCCUACUCAAUAUGUAGAACCAUAGGAGGUGUGGUUCAAAAAAAAUGCUGUGUUCUUAACUUCUCUUUCUUUAUUGAAUCUAAUUCUUCCCUUUCCUCAUUGAUCUCCUCUCGACAAUUUUAGACAAUUUAAGCAAUUUGCCAAUUGAUGUUUGGUGAUUCAGAAACUUGAAGCUUAUGCAAACAAAAUUAUGUGUCAAGGUAUGUGGAAUUAUCUAGGUAUGUUGGAGAAAUUGGUAUUUUCUCCAAUAGAAGUAUUAUAUUGAUUCUUGUCCGAUCAUAUAGAAAUCAAUUGGCUUACUAAGCAAAAGAGGGUGCAUGGAGGGUUUUCACAUGUAGCAUCAUUUCCUAUCCAUCCCUUUUUGGUUGCAUACUAUCAUGAAGUAUCAGCUAUUUUUGAAAUACACAUAUUUAUCUUUGUUACCCACUAGAGGGACAACAUUUUAUGCACACACUUGACACUAUUCGAGUCUUAUAGCCAAAGUUUAUAGCCUU
rnacentral:lncRNA from 1 species